UUUCUACUCCCUCCGUCCGAAAAUACUUGUCAUCAACAUGGAUAAAAAGAGAUGUAUCUAAAACUAAAAUACGUCUAGAUACAUUUCCUUUUAUCCAUUUUGAUGACAAGUAUUUCUGGACGGAGGGAGUAUUUG
rnacentral:pre_miRNA from 1 species